CGUUGAUGUACCAGAAUCCAGUAAUCUAGUAGAAGAAGGGGAACCUGAAAUAACCCCAAGUGAACAGGAGAAUGCAGAUCUUGAGUCAAUUACCACGGAACAGGACAUUGAGAAUCCUGGCAGUGAACCUUUUCAUUCUCUUGAUGAAUCUACACAAGAAAAGUACCUGCAAGAGGGUGACAAAGUGUAUUCGUCUCAACAACAGAAUGGCCUGCUGCUCAUGGCAUUGAAAAUGAAGCACAAGCUUACCAAGGAAGCAGUCUCUGACAUGCUGGACAUUAUUAAUCUAUUGGCUGGUAAAGACACUGUACCACAAUCUUGGUACCACUUAGAAAAACAGUUUGAAGGUUUAAAAUAUUUUGUAGAAAUACAUCAUGUUUGCAAUUUCUGUGAAUCUUACUUAGGUAAAGAAACCUCUGAGAAAUGCACUUACUGUGAGAAAGAGUGGAUAGAGCAAAGGAGUCUGAAAGAAGGAAACUUUUUCUUUCAUUUGCCUUUACAUGCACAGAUCAAAGCAUUUUUAGAGGACCCUGAAUUGUCACAAAAGGUAGUAAGAAAUAGACAUGGCUUCCAGUCACAGACAUUCUGUGACAUAACAUUGUUUAUGCCAACUGGUACACAGAUAGUGACCAGGCAUCCUGCAUUCCUUUUGCUAUGAAAAUGUUCUUUCAGAUCUUACACUGUAUAGAUAGGAACUCCCGUUCUCUCACUACGGCUAACUUGGUUCGAGGAACUACCGUUCCUCUCGAUUUAUGAAAAACGCCACAGGUACAAUAAUUGUAAUAAUGUUGUAGAUAAAAGGCAGUUGUUAAAAUUCUCGUUCAAUUUUAGCCUCUGCUUAUACAUGUUUCAAACUACCAUGUGUUUUUUUCUGUGCAAUGUAUUUGACCUACAAAUGUACA